ensembl:lncRNA
CACCUUUCAGCCGAUUUAGAUUCAUGAAACGUUCUGAAUUUAUCUAAACUUUUAUGGCUUAUUUUACAUCUGCCUAUUUUCAUCUAAUAAUCUAGUCGAUUCCACAUGUUUUAAUUGUUUUUAAAUGAUGUUUAAAAUCUGUUUCUUUUGCACUCUAUCAUUUGAUGUUCUAUUUGAUGCGACUUGAACUGACUUUUAAUUACAUAUUAAGCAUUGACGUUUGGUGGAUGAGUGACAAUCAUUAAAAGAUUCCAGAAACUAGAAAAACUAGUCGACAACCUACCUCUCCAUCCCUUGAUUGCUCUUGUUGCUUAGCAAAAAGAACGUAAAUCGGCAGACUGUAGGUGUGUGUGUGUUUGACGUCUGGGAUUCUGCCUCUCCUCCAGUGACUCGGCUCCGAGGCAUUUCUGGGAGCGGUGCCGCCCUGUUGGUGAUCCAUUUGUUUAUUUAUUUAGAUUUCGCUGUCUCAUUACAUCAAAAGAUUUGCAAAUUGUUUUUAUUUCUAAAGCGCUGAUAAUUAUUUUUAAAUUAGAUUCCCAUUUAGAUACAUGUCAUUUCUAACUAAAGAAUCAACAACAGUUCUAAUGUCACAUUAAGGGAACUCGUGGUGUUUUGCUGAAGUAAGGGAAAAAUAUUUUGGAUUAGUUUAAUAAUGAAAAAGAAAAUGGAAUAAUGUGAACGAAGACUGUGGCGAGAUGUUCCAUCCACGACCCGGUUCACUGAGAACAGGGAGGAGCGCAUAACUACUUCACGGCAGGAAAGAAAAGUUAACAUCAAACCAUCUCUGGAACAACUUUUCAUUGAGGAUGAAGAUCUGUAUCGUCCUACUUCUGUGUGUUGCGUACACAGAAACAACAACAGCAACUACAGAUGCACCCGCAACAACAACAGUACCAGCUGCAUCAACUAUAGUAGCAGCCGCAACCACUACAGUAGCAGCUGCAAGAACAACAGUUCCAGCAGCAACAACUACAGCUGCACCCGCAACAACUACAGUAGAAGCCACAGCAACUACAGUACCAGCUGCAUCAACUACAGUAGCAGCCACAACAACUACAGCUGCACCCGCAACAAAAACAGGGCCAGCCGCAACAACUACAGCUGCACCCGCAACAACUACAGUGGUAGCUGCAACAACUAGAGUACCAGUCGCAACAACUACAGCCAACCCAACAACAACUGCAGCAGCAGCAACCUCCACAGAUGCUCCAGCGGUAACUACAGCAGCUCGACCAACUACAGCUGCACCCGCAACAACUACAGUAGCAGCCGC